GGAAAAGGAAAUCCCCGCAAGUAUUGCGACUACCAUCAAGCGUCGGGACAUGAGACGAACGAUUGUGCCAGUUUAAAAGAGUUCAUUGAGAGAAAGGUACAAGGUGGAGCUUUAGUUCAAUAUGUUGCUGCCCGAACUCAUCAGCAGCAGGACCGAGUACCUGUCCCGGCGGCUCAACCUAAUCAGCCAGCGUUGCCAGCUCCGGAUCAGCCACCAAGGCAUGUGAUAGAUGUCAUCACUGGGGGUACUUCUGGCAAGCUCGUUGGAAAAAAGCGCCGAAGCUAUUUGGAUUCGGUCAUGUCGGUGGCGGGUACCUUCCCGAAGACUGAUAGACCUUAUCCGAAUACGGUAAUCUCUUUCACUGAUGAAGAUUACCCUUCGGAAAUUAUCGAACCUCAUGAAGGAUCAUUGGUGCUUACUGCACAAGUG
rnacentral:lncRNA from 1 species